CAGAAACGUACGGUCUUCCCCUGAGAGCUGUGGUUAGCAUCAUGGUAUAGAAAGCCCCAAUCAUGUAAAAUGGUUAUGUUCAGGUAUGACAGAUUGCUGGGAACCAACACCUAUUGAGUUCCAGGGGUGGGUGGGUGGGCGCAAGCCUGCCACAGCUAAAGGUCCCCCAGCCUAAGGGGAUGAGCUAUUGAACCCGGGGCUCAAGCGAUUUCAGGGGACAACUAAUAAAAAACAGGGACCGGUGUGAGAUCAAAGGGGGAACCAACAACAGAGACAGCACUCUGAUCACUUAAACAUCAAUUAAUUGCCCUGGGAUGGAUAUGAUUGUGCCUAAUUAGCAAAUUAGGCUGGGGAGAGCUAAAUAGCUAAUUUUCCCAUUAACACAGGGCACAGAAGAAGGCAUUAGAGGGAAAAGGGGUCGGGGGUGCUAGUGGAGCCAGAACCAAGAAGGAUCUCUGGGUGGACAGAUCUCUUCCCUCUCCUUGGCAGAGAAGAAACUGAUAUUGUGGGGAAUGUAGGCACAGAGUGACUAAGUAACUUGCCAAAGAUGACCUGGAAAGACUGUGGCAGAAUGUAUCUACUGGACCUGGGACAGCUAUUUAUAUUGGCUUUAAACACUCACUUGCUUCCACAUGCAAAGACCUACUAACAAGUUCCUGCCUGUCCUAUGAUGGCUGUAUUUGCUGCUUUUCUCUUUCUUCUUAAGAGGUAGCCAGGGCUUUAUUGUCAAGUAACUGCAUGAAGAUGCAUUCCUCCUGACUUUUACCCUAGGCAAGUUGUCUUCCAUAUUCUCGGCAAGAUUUAAGAUGUAGUCAUCAGAAAGAAAUGUGAAUUAGAAUGAAACUGCAGAAGGAAUAGACUGACUGCAAACCGAAGGGAGCAAUAGUGAACCUGUGCCUGAGAGAGAGUUUAAAAAGGGAAAUAAGUUGAAAUGGAAAUCAUAAUUCUAUAAUAACUUAGGGAAACAUCCAGUUUAAAAGAAUAAUCGAGAAAUCUAUUUCUAAUUUGUUAUUAAUUCAUUAUUAAAUGUACUACUUUGUAGUGCUCAGCACUGUACAGAUGACACAGACAUGAACUUCACCCCAAAGAGCUUAAAAUCUGAAGUUUUUAGCUGCAGUUUACCAAGUGGAGGUGGCAAAUAAUUGAGAAGGGAGGAAAGCUGAUAGUUAUAGCAAAAUGCUCAGACAGUUACUUAGUUUAGGCAUGUAUACGUACUGGCGGCUCAUUCUUCUUCUGGAUUUCAAAGAUGUAGCCGUAAUUUUUCAAGAGGGAUUUAAACGAGGAGAGGGUCAUAGCUUGCCAGACCAGAAUAGGGUGUCCUGAAAAAUGGGCAUGGUGAUGUUUAUGAAAGAAAUAGAUAAAGGGGACUUCAAGAUUGGUGUCACUGAUGGAUAAGAGACAAGGUUUGAUAAGGCUGAUGUUAUGCAGAGCCUUAAAAGUAAGUGCUAGAAUUUAAAUUUAAUGCAAUGAAUGAGGGAGCCAGUGGAGAGGUUCAAAGUGGAGAGUCACACAUUUAAUUUAACAAGAAGAAAGCGUAAUUCAGCAGAUGCAUUUUGGGAGACAAAUUAGGUGGCAGGAGGCCAAAGCUAGGGGAUUUGCAGUAAUCAAGCUGGGCCAUAACCAGGGCAUUCAGGGAUGAGGUUUUUGGAAAGAUAAAGACUCAAAUUGUCAAAAUGUCAUAGAGCAGGAAGCAGCAAGAUUUGUGUAUAGUUUGGGUAUCUGAGGAAAAUGAUGUGCAUCAAAAAUGACUCCUGUAGUAUGAGCCUGAAAGCCAGGGAAGUUGGUGACUUUACCUAUGUGACUAGAGAAAGGAAGAGGAGAGGCCACAAAUGGAAAAAUAAGGAGCUAACUUUUAGCUAUGGUAAACUAUGCACAAAAUCUAUGAGAAAUGUAGGCAAAAAGUCUGGUAACAAUCCUAAUACUUCAGGGAAUAAACCAAUCGAUAGUUGACUGGGGAAAAGUAUCCCUAAGGGUAGCGUGUUCCAGAUGUGUCAGUUAUGGGAAUUCUUGCACCUUCUUCUGAAGCAACUGUAUAGGGCCACCAACAGACACAGGACACUGGAGCAGAUUGACAGCUGCUAUGGUCUGGGGUAGGGCAAUUUUUAUGUUCCCAGUGCUCAGUGAAAAGCCACAUAUGAGAUCAAGAGAGGAGAUGUAUAGAGCAAAAUCCACCCUCUACACACACCUCAAAUGUAAUAAUUACAAGAAGCACGGAAUCAAGUGGAGUAUUGGGAUAACUUAACCAUUCAGCCUUGGCCUCCCACAUGAACGUUGACUCUCUUGAGUCCUUGUGUGGUCUUUGGUGGUUUGCUGCCUGACUAUGUACAUUUUUCAUGAUUAACUUGGAAAUCAUCACAUAUAAUACAGUACAUUAACAUCAAUCCGAGGAGAAGUACUAUUUCAAGGAGAAACCUUGGAAAUGGUUCAUAUUUCACAUACAGUACACUGGUGCCAAUAUGCUCUGUGCAUGGAAUGACAUCAAACAAACAAGGGAUUUCCUUGGAGUGUGUCCUGGAAACUUGAGGAGUCCUUGGUGGCAUCUGACAUCCCAUUUGCCUUGAAGUUAACGUUUUCAUGACAUCUUGCCUGUCUGUACCUUUAUAUAGUUAUAAGCCAUGGAUUUUAAGCUGCCUGAAAGAGAUUAAACUGUUCUUCAACCAGCUGCUGCAGACUGGUGCUUGGCAUAUGGAUAUUGGAUAGAGUUACCAACUUGGAAAUGUGCUGGAAAAUUAGCAAAUAUCUUUUGAGAAUAUGAGUACAGAGCAAGUGACUCAAUGACUAGGUCAUGCAUUAAGAAGGGAUAUGAGGAAGACUAUAAGCAAAAAUUCCCUGUGUUCUGGCAUCCAUGGAAAAUUCACAAGAGGAAGAUCUGCCUGUAUUUUGUUUUCAGUUUCAUCCAUAUGCACAUAUCAUCUGGCAUACUCACCAUUUGUAAUGCAAAUGAGAAACUACUUCUCCUCAGCUGGUAUAAACUGA